GAUGAACGCUGGCGGCGUGCCUAAUACAUGCAAGUCGAGCGAACAGACGAGGAGCUUGCUCCUCUGACGUUAGCGGCGGACGGGUGAGUAACACGUGGAUAACCUACCUAUAAGACUGGGAUAACUUCGGGAAACCGGAGCUAAUACCGGAUAAUAUAUUGAACCGCAUGGUUCAAUAGUGAAAGACGGUUUUGCUGUCACGUAUAGAUGGAUCCGCGCCGCAUUAGCUAGUUGGUAAGGUAACGGCUUACCAAGGCAACGAUGCGUAGCCGACCUGAGAGGGUGAUCGGCCACACUGGAACUGAGCCACGGUCCAGACUCCUACGGGAGGCAGCAGUAGGGAAUCUUCCGCAAUGGGCGAAAGCCUGACGGAGCAACGCCGCGUGAGUGAUGACGGUCUUCGGAUCGUAAAACUCUGUUAUUAGGGAAGAACAAAUGUGUAAGUAACUAUGCACGUCUUGACGGUACCUAAUCAGAAAGCCACGGCUAACUACGUG
rnacentral:rRNA from 1 species